rnacentral:rRNA from 1 species
UACGUAGGGUCCAAGCGUUAUCCGGAAUUACUGGGCGUAAAGCGUGUGUAGGCGGCGCGUUAAGUGCAACGCGAAAUCUUGUGGCUCAACCAUAUAGACUGUGUUGCAUACUGGCGUGCUUGAGGACGUGAGAGGCAAGUGGAAUUUGUAGUGUAGCAGUGAAAUGCGUAGAUAAUUACAAGGAACACCAAUGGCGAAGGCAGCUUGCUGGCACGUAUCUGACGCUGAGACACGAAAGCGUGGGGAGCGAACAGG